rfam:Oreochromis niloticus linkage group LG14, whole genome shotgun sequence.
UCAUAAAGCAUUGCACCCAGAGUCUGGUUUACCAGACAUUGUACCUGGAGCUUUUCUUUCUUUUUAUAAAUAAAAU